UACGUAGGUGGCAAGCGUUGUCCGGAUUUACUGGGCGUAAAGAGCGCGUAGGCGGUUGGAUAAGUCGGAUGUGAAAGCCCCCGGCUUAACUGGGGAGGGUCAUUCGAUACUGUUCAACUUGAAGGCAGGAGAGGGCAGCAGAAUUCCCGGUGUAGUGGUGAAAUGCGUAGAUAUCGGGAGGAAUACCAGUGGCGAAGGCGGCUUUCUGGUCUGUAACUGACGCUGAGGCGCGAAAGCGUGGGGAGCAAACAGG
rnacentral:rRNA from 1 species